rnacentral:rRNA from 1 species
GGGUAGUUUGACUGGGGCGGUCUCCUCCUAAAGAGUAACGGAGGAGCACGAAGGUUGGCUAAUCCUGGUCGGACAUCAGGAGGUUAGUGCAAUGGCAUAAGCCAGCUUGACUGCGAGCGUGACGGCGCGAGCAGGUGCGAAAGCAGGUCAUAGUGAUCCGGUGGUUCUGAAUGGAAGGGCCAUCGCUCAACGGAUAAAAGGUACUCCGGGGAUAACAGGCUGAUACCGCCCAAGAGUUCAUAUCGACGGCGGUGUUUGGCACCUCGAUGUCGGCUCAUCACAUCCUGGGGCUGAAGUAGGUCCCAAGGGUAUGGCUGUUCGCCAUUUAAAGUGGUACGCGAGCUGGGUUUAGAACGUCGUGAGACAGUUCGGUCCCUAUCUGCCGUGG